rnacentral:rRNA from 1 species
AUUGAACGCUGGCGGCAUGCUUUACACAUGCAAGUCGAACGGCAGCGGGGACUUCGGUCCGCCGGCGAGUGGCGAACGGGUGAGUAAUGCAUCGGAACGUGCCUAUCAGUGGGGGAUAACGCUUCGAAAGGAGUGCUAAUACCGCAUAUUCUCUGAGGAGGAAAGCAGGGGACCUUAGGGCCUUUCGCUGAUAGAGCGGCCGAUGUCGGAUUAGCUAGUUGGUGAGGUAAAGGCUCACCAAGGCGACGAUCCGUAGCGGGUCUGAGAGGAUGAUCCGCGAAACUGGGACUGAGACACGGCCCAGACUCCGACGGGAGGCAGCAGUGGGGAAUUUUGGACAAUGGGCGAAAGCCUGAUCCAGCCAUGCCGCGUGAGUGAAGAAGGCCUUCGGGUUGUAAAGCUCUUUUGUCCGGGAGGAAAUCCUGGCCUCUAAUACAGGUCGGGGAUGACAGUACUGGAAGAAUAAGCACCGGCUAACUACGUGCCAGCCGCCGCAGUAAAAC